rnacentral:rRNA from 1 species
GCUUGCUAUUUUUAUGAAGAGCGGCGAACGGGUGAGUAACGCGUGGGAAAUCUGCCGAGUAGCGGGGGACAACGUUUGGAAACGAACGCUAAUACCGCAUAACAAUGAGAAUCGCAUGAUUCUUAUUUAAAAGAAGCAAUUGCUUCACUACUUGAUGAUCCCGCGUUGUAUUAGCUAGUUGGUAGUGUAAAGGACUACCAAGGCGAUGAUACAUAGCCGACCUGAGAGGGUGAUCGGCCACACUGGGACUGAGACACGGCCCAGACUCCUACGGGAGGCAGCAGUAGGGAAUCUUCGGCAAUGGGGGCAACCCUGACCGAGCAACGCCGCGUGAGUGAAGAAGGUUUUCGGAUCGUAAAACUCUGUUGUUAGAGAAGAACGUUAAGUAGAGUGGAAAAUUACUUAAGUGACGGUAUCUAACCAGAAAGGGACGGCUAACUACGUGCCAGCAGCCGCGGUAAUACGUAGGUCCCAAGCGUUGUCCGGAUUUAUUGGGCGUAAAGCGAGCGCAGGUGGUUUCUUAAGUCUGAUGUAAAAGGCAGUGGCUCAACCAUUGUGUGCAUUGGAAACUGGGAGACUUGAGUGCAGGAGAGGAGAGUGGAAUUCCAUGGGUUAACG